rnacentral:tRNA from 31 species
GGGGCCGUAGCUCAGUUGGUAGAGCGCAUCGUUCGCAAUGAUGAGGCCAGGGGUUCGAUUCCCCUCGGCUCCACCA